UAGGAAGUGUGGUUUGGGAGUAGUGAGAGGUGUUCUUGAAACUUAAAAUUUUUGGCGGUUUUCUAGGCUUGUUAGAGGAACCUGUUCUUUAAUAGAUGGUCCACUUUUUUUUUAACUUUGGUUUUGUUUGUAUAUCGCCGUCGUAAAGUAGGUUUUUUAGAAUUUAUUGUGGUUGUUAAUAGAAAUAGAUGACAGGUCAAGGUGCAGCUUGUGCUGGAGGGUGAGAUGGGUUACAAUAUAGGAUUUUUAUGAAACGAAUAAUGGUGAGAAUAUUAGUAUUUGAAGGUGGAUUUGAUAGUAAGAUAAGAUUAAGAUGUUUAUCUGAAAAUGGCUCUGGAGGAUGU
rnacentral:rRNA from 1 species